AAACCAUGCAUCGAGCAUUUUCUAAUUAAUUCCUUGAAAUGCUCCCAUGCUUCGUAUUAUGUUUCAUCUACAGAUUACCUGAACGAUGUAAUGUCAUUCCUCAGCUU
rfam:Gossypium hirsutum cultivar TM-1 chromosome 6, whole genome shotgun sequence